rnacentral:rRNA from 1 species
GAUGAACGCUGGCGGCGUGCCUAAUACAUGCAAGUCGAGCGAACGGACGAGAAGCUUGCUUCUCUGAUGUUAGCGGCGGACGGGUGAGUAACACGUGGAUAACCUACCUAUAAGACUGGGAUAACUUCGGGAAACCGGAGCUAAUACCGGAUAAUAUUUUGAACCGCAUGGUUCAAAAGUGAAAGACGGUCUUGCUGUCACUUAUAGAUGGAUCCGCGCUGCAUUAGCUAGUUGGUAAGGUAACGGCUUACCAAGGCAACGAUGCAUAGCCGACCUGAGAGGGUGAUCGGCCACACUGGAACUGAGACACGGUCCAGACUCCUACGGGAGGCAGCAGUAGGGAAUCUUCCGCAAUGGGCGAAAGCCUGACGGAGCAACGCCGCGUGAGUGAUGAAGGUCUUCGGAUCGUAAAACUCUGUUAUUAGGGAAGAACAUAUGUGUAAGUAACUGUGCACAUCUUGACGGUACCUAAUCAGAAAGCCACGGCUAACUACGUGCCAGCAGCCGCGGUAAUACGUAGGUGGCAAGCGUUAUCCGGAAUUAUUGGGCGUAAAGCGCGCGUAGGCGGUUUUUUAAGUCUGAUGUGAAAGCCCACGGCUCAACCGUGGAGGGUCAUUGGAAACUGGAAAACUUGAGUGCAGAAGAGGAAAGUGGAAUUCCAUGUGUAGCGGUGAAAUGCGCAGAGAUAUGGAGGAACACUAGUGGCGAAGGCGACUUUCUGGUCUGUAACUGACGCUGAUGUGCGAAAGCGUGGGGAUCAAACAGGAUUAGAUACCCUGGUAGUCCACGCCGUAAACGAUGAGUGCUAAGUGUUAGGGGGUUUCCGCCCCUUAGUGCUGCAGCUAACGCAUUAAGCACUCCGCCUGGGGAGUACGACCGCAAGGUUGAAACUCAAAGGAAUUGACGGGGACCCGCACAAGCGGUGGAGCAUGUGGUUUAAUUCGAAGCAACGCGAAGAACCUUACCAAAUCUUGACAUCCUUUGACAACUCUAGAGAUAGAGCCUUCCCCUUCGGGGGACAAAGUGACAGGUGGUGCAUGGUUGUCGUCAGCUCGUGUCGUGAGGUGUUGGGUUAAGUCCCGCAACGAGCGCAACCCUUAAGCUUAGUUGCCAUCAUUAAGUUGGGCACUCUAAGUUGACUGCCGGUGACAAACCGGAGGAAGGUGGGGAUGACGUCAAAUCAUCAUGCCCCUUAUGAUUUGGGCUACACACGUGCUACAAUGGACAAUACAAAGGGCAGCGAAACCGCGAGGUCAAGCAAAUCCCAUAAAGUUGUUCUCAGUUCGGAUUGUAGUCUGCAACUCGACUACAUGAAGCUGGAAUCGCUAGUAAUCGUAGAUCAGCAUGCUACGGUGAAUACGUUCCCGGGUCU